UCUUCGUCCAGCGAUGACAUCUGAAGAAACCGAAAUCCUACUCUGGAUUCGGGGAAUCACGGCGGGAGGACUGACUGAUGGCCCUCCGGCGACGGCGGGUGGUCAGGACCGCGGUUCUUCGUCGACGGUCGUUGCGCGUUCGAGGAAUCACGGCGGACAACCUACUUAUGGCCCUCCGGCGACGGCGGCGAUCGGGACCGUGGUGCGCACGCUGCGAGGACGCUGGAAUGCGAUGCGGGUGGCACAUCGACCGGCGACGACGGAGGUGACUAAUGAGAGGGCAGCAAGACAUGGUAAUCAACUCAACAUUUGACAGAAGGUCUUGAUACCAAUGCAGCCUGUAUUAAGUCCCAUUCUUCUUUGGACUGGAGGUCAUCAAUAA